rnacentral:lncRNA from 1 species
UGUUAAGUGCAGGGCUUAUGUAGUGCAAGGCUUGGCAAGACAUGGUUUCAAGGCAUGGCAACAAGGUUUGACACAAAAAUGGUUUUCUUGUUCAUGAAGGAAUUUGGUGAUGGAAUCACAUAGAAAGAUGAGAAAUGAUAUGUACUUCAUGUAGGCAUUAGGGUUGGGUCAUUAGAAUAGGUUAGUUGACUUUUUUAAACUAGUUGACCAAAAAGUCAACAUUUAACCAAAAGUCAAUUGUAGGUCAACUUUGUAUUUUUUUUAAUUU